rnacentral:misc_RNA from 1 species
AAAAUUCAAUAGCCUCUCAUUGGUACCGCUGCAAAGCUGGGAAACAAUGAAUGUUGGCACCACAUCUUGUGAACUGUAAUGUCUUUGGUGGUUGGGCGGUCUGCUUGUUUCAAGCAUUCCGUCUGUCAGCUUGAGUUCCAACACUCAAGCCGUGGACAAGCCACCGCCUGUGUAUUCAAACUUAUAUUUGUCUUCUGUUUUUUUUGUCUAACAUUUUUUUGUAUAAAUAUACAAA